AACAUAAGUGGUGACCGGACGCA
rnacentral:siRNA from 1 species